CAGAACUGAAGACUUCGGUGCAGAGCUGGAACAGGUAACGUGUUUGGAUUUGUGUCCCAGACACCCUCCACCCUGCCAUAUUUGGGCCUAUAAAUGUCUUCACCACCCGGAGUUCAGAGACUCCUAGAAUUGCAAGCUGGAAAUUACAUAUGGAAGCUGAGUCACCUGCCUCGCCCCUGGAGCCUGCUGCCUGUUUCCAAGGCCUUCCUCAUUAUUCAGACCACGACUCAUUCACAUGAAUACCAAAAGCAACACUUGAUGGCUGUGGAAGAUUUUCAUCCUCACGGGUCGUGAAAUGCAUCAGAAUAUUUUCCGUUUAUCACCUACGCUAAGGAUUUAUGACUGCCUAAGUGUUAUAUUUCUAGCCACUGUAUUCUGAGGCAAGCAACCUGCCGCAAGCCCUCAGAAGGAAUCCACCCUAUGGACCCCUUGAUCUUGGACUUCUAACCACUGGAACUGCCAGAAAAUGAAUUUAUGUUGUUGAAGCCACCAGUUUGUGGAACUUUGUUGCAGUAGCCAGAACAGACUAAUACAACUGCCAGACUGAAAGCAUCUAAUAACACGUAUUGGUCUGCAAAGAGUCAUGGAAGCUGUACCACCUAAAGGUGCAAUUUUAUUUUCAAAACACUGAUGAUUAGAGAUGUUUCUAUCUUGAUUUUUAUCCUGUUACUCAUAGACACUUCUCAUGAACACAUGUAGAUUUUUACAUAAUUCAUAAAGUCUUCCUCUACUCCCAAGUCCAUGUUUUGAGUUUCUAUACUCAGCCCUUGAAACUGUCUCCAAAGACUUAAGAAUCUUGGCAUCUCAGUUCUUAAAAUAUCACAUCCAUGAUUCCUUAUUAUACGCACCGCCUUUGGUCAAUGAAAAACAUAACUGUCCACCUUUCUGUGGCCCUUGAAGAGCUCCUUGCAUUUCUAAAAGUCUGUGCGUACCUAGGACUACGAGGGACAGGUCCAUGGUACCUCCACAGGCGGCUGGAUGUGGCCUCUUCGCCCCUGUGGUCCCAGUUGUUGGAAGGGGGCUGGGCCAUUCUGGGGACCCUAGUGAGAUGACAGGGCAGUGGGCCCCCCACCCUUCUUUGCUUACAAAUCACAUCUGCUUUCAGGGGAGCCAUGGAUUUCCUCCUGCUGGCCCACUUCCAAGUCUCAAAUUACAGCUGGGUUCUAAGUUUGGAUGUCUUUGCAUUUAACCCUCACAAUCUGACCCUGUAUACCUUUGAACUCUCAUUUCUUUCCCAAAUUAUUUUGAUGUUGAGCAAAUUCAAAAUUGAUAUUUAUGAAUUUGCAUUUCUAUAGUCAUAUGUAUUUACUAAGUUGGCAAUCUGUAGGCUAAUAUAUUUGUUCCUGUGAUCAGUCUGGUCUGCCAUGCUCUGUGACUCUGGGCUUUUUGGACCAGAGAUUUCGGUGGGAAAGCCAGCCGUAGGCGAUGCCUCAGUUACCUACAGGCAGCCAGGUCUCAUCAUGGCAGUCUGGCUCAGCGCGACCUCAAACAGAAUUACAAGUCAGCUAUCCUAAGAGCAUGGAAGAGCCAUUCAGACUUUUGUUUAAAUCUCCUGAAAGGCAUCAAAGUGGACAGGGCAAUGCACUGAGUGUCAUUUAUUAAUGCGCUCCAAAUACCUCACAACAGAGGAGUCCCUUCCCUUCUCCAUCUCUGCGCAGCUCAACAGAUGGACAAACAGACAAAGAGCAAGACCAGUCUGCCCGUCCCUCCCAGCAACUCACACCUGCAGAUCCCUCUCCUAGCCUCUUGCUCUCAGGCUGACAUUAUCAUCAUGUAGAGUGAUUAAGCCUUUUCUGGAUUUUUCCAGAUGCGUUUCCACUCUUAUUUCAACCAGGAGUCUUCAAACUUUUGACUGUUUAUCCCAUCCAUAGAAAUUGACAUCAAGCAGUAGAGAGAAUGAGAGAGAGGGAGAAAGUUUUAAACUAUUUAUGUACUAUUAUGCAUAUAUAUAUUGUGUCAA